CCCAGCGCCCCUUGGCUUGUAGACGUGGCUCUGGUCUCUGCCUGUCUUCACAGGGCCGUCUCUGUGGGCCUCUGUGUGUCUCCUGUUCUCACGUGGACACCCGCCAUGCUGGAUUCGGACACGGCCCAUGACCAUGGCCUCCGCUGAAUCACACCCGCGAGGACCUGGUUCCCAAAGAAGGCCACAGUGCAGGUUCCAGCACACAGGCCGCUGUGCCUCGCAGCAGGAGCCCCCUGUGGAAUCGUGCGGAGAGGGACCUCAGAUCUGCUCUCUGCAGGGCUGUGUGAAUUCCGGGGCCUCUGGCCUCCUCCUCACUGAUACGUCUGCAGCUCUCCAGCACCUACAGAUUCAUUCCCCAGCAGCAGCCACCGUGGUUCACAGUGGAAUGCGCACCGGCUUUGCACGCAGACGUGCUGUGACGUCAAUUGCAGCAACG